rnacentral:rRNA from 1 species
UCGGGAAUAUUGCGCAAUGGAGGAAACUCUGACGCAGUGACGCCGCGUGCAGGAAGAAGGUUUUCGGAUUGUAAACUGCUUUAGACAGGGAAGAAACAAGACAGUACCUGUAGAAUAAGCUCCGGCUAACCACGUGCCAGCAGCCGCGGUAAUACGUAGGGAGCAAGCGUUAUCCGGAUUUAUUGGGUGUAAAGGGUGCGUAGACGGGAAUGCAAGUUGGUUGUGAAAUCCCUCGGCUCAACCGAGGAAUUGCAACCAAAACUAUAUUUCUUGAGUGCUGGAGAGGAAAGUGGAAUUCCUAGUGUAGCGGUGAAAUGCGUAGAUAUUAGGAGGAACACCAGUGGCGAAGGCGACUUUCUGGACAGUAACUGACGUUGAGGCACGAAAGUGUGGGGAGCAAACAGGAUUAGAUACCC